UUAAGCGACUAAGCGUACACGGUGGAUGCCCUGGCAGUCAGAGGCGAUGAAGGGCGUGCUAAUCUGCGAUAAGCGCCGGUAAGGUGAUAUGAACCGUUAUAACCGGCGAUACCCGAAUGGGGAAACCCAGUGUGACUCGUCACACUAUCAUUAACUGAAUCCAUAGGUUAAUGAGGCGAACCGGGGGAACUGAAACAUCUAAGUACCCCGAGGAAAAGAAAUCAACCGAGAUUCCCCCAGUAGCGGCGAGCGAACGGGGAGGAGCCCAGAGCCUGAAUCAGCAUGUGUGUUAGUGGAAGCGUCUGGAAAGGUGCGCGAUACAGGGUGACAGCCCCGUACACAAAAGCGCAUGUGCUGUGAGCUCGAUGAGUAGGGCGGGACACGUGGUAUCCUGUCUGAAUAUGGGGGGACCAUCCUCCAAGGCUAAAUACUCCUGACUGACCGAUAGUGAACCAGUACCGUGAGGGAAAGGCGAAAAGAACCCCGGCGAGGGGAGUGAAAAAGAACCUGAAACCGUGUACGUACAAGCAGUGGGAGCACAGGUUUACCUGUGUGACUGCGUACCUUUUGUAUAAUGGGUCAGCGACUUAUAUUCUGUAGCAAGGUUAACCGUAUAGGGGAGCCGUAGGGAAACCGAGUCUUAACCGGGCGUUAAGUUGCAGGGUAUAGACCCGAAACCCGGUGAUCUAGCCAUGGGCAGGUUGAAGGUUGGGUAACACUAACUGGAGGACCGAACCGACUAAUGUUGAAAAAUUAGCGGAUGACCUGUGGCUGGGGGUGAAAGGCCAAUCAAACCGGGAGAUAGCUGGUUCUCCCCGAAAGCUAUUUAGGUAGCGCCUCGUGAAUUCAUCUCCGGGGGUAGAGCACUGUUUCGGCUAGGGGGCCAUCCCGGCUUACCAACCCGAUGCAAACUGCGAAUACCGGAGAAUGUUAUCACGGGAGACACACGGCGGGUGCUAACGUCCGUCGUGAAGAGGGAAACAACCCAGACCGCCAGCUAAGGUCCCAAAGUCAUGGUUAAGUGGGAAACGAUGUGGGAAGGCCCAGACAGCCAGGAUGUUGGCUUAGAAGCAGCCAUCAUUUAAAGAAAGCGUAAUAGCUCACUGGUCGAGUCGGCCUGCGCGGAAGAUGUAACGGGGCUAAACCAUGCACCGAAGCUGCGGCAGCGAACGUAUCACCCAAGACAACUUUACGGAGUUGACGAUUGACGGAGCGAAGCGACGUCAAAGCGUUCAUUAAAGUCGAGUUGGCUUAGGGAUACGUUCGUUGGGUAGGGGAGCGUUCUGUAAGCCUGUGAAGGUGUGUCGUGAGGCAUGCUGGAGGUAUCAGAAGUGCGAAUGCUGACAUAAGUAACGAUAAAGCGGGUGAAAAGCCCGCUCGCCGGAAGACCAAGGGUUCCUGUCCAACGUUAAUCGGGGCAGGGUGAGUCGACCCCUAAGGCGAGGCCGAAAGGCGUAGUCGAUGGGAAACGGGUUAAUAUUCCCGUACUUGGUGUUACUGCGAAGGGGGGACGGAGAAGGCUAUGUUGGCCGGGCGACGGUUGUCCCGGUUUAAGCGUGUAGGUGUGUGUUCCAGGUAAAUCCGGUUCACUUUAACACUGAGGCGUGACGACGAGGCACUACGGUGCUGAAGCAACAAAUGCCCUGCUUCCAGGAAAAGCCUCUAAGCAUCAGGUAACACGAAAUCGUACCCCAAACCGACACAGGUGGUCAGGUAGAGAAUACCAAGGCGCUUGAGAGAACUCGGGUGAAGGAACUAGGCAAAAUGGUGCCGUAACUUCGGGAGAAGGCACGCUGACACGUAGGUGAAGUGAUUUACUCAUGGAGCUGAAGUCAGUCGAAGAUACCAGCUGGCUGCAACUGUUUAUUAAAAACACAGCACUGUGCAAACACGAAAGUGGACGUAUACGGUGUGACGCCUGCCCGGUGCCGGAAGGUUAAUUGAUGGGGUCAGCGCAAGCGAAGCUCCUGAUCGAAGCCCCGGUAAACGGCGGCCGUAACUAUAACGGUCCUAAGGUAGCGAAAUUCCUUGUCGGGUAAGUUCCGACCUGCACGAAUGGCGUAAUGAUGGCCAGGCUGUCUCCACCCGAGACUCAGUGAAAUUGAACUCGCUGUGAAGAUGCAGUGUACCCGCGGCAAGACGGAAAGACCCCGUGAACCUUUACUAUAGCUUGACACUGAACAUUGAGCCUUGAUGUGUAGGAUAGGUGGGAGGCUUUGAAGUGUGGACGCCAGUCUGCAUGGAGCCGACCUUGAAAUACCACCCUUUAAUGUUUGAUGUUCUAACGUGGACCCGUAAUCCGGGUUGCGGACAGUGUCUGGUGGGUAGUUUGACUGGGGCGGUCUCCUCCUAAAGAGUAACGGAGGAGCACGAAGGUUGGCUAAUCCUGGUCGGACAUCAGGAGGUUAGUGCAAUGGCAUAAGCCAGCUUGACUGCGAGCGUGACGGCGCGAGCAGGUGCGAAAGCAGGUCAUAGUGAUCCGGUGGUUCUGAAUGGAAGGGCCAUCGCUCAACGGAUAAAAGGUACUCCGGGGAUAACAGGCUGAUACCGCCCAAGAGUUCAUAUCGACGGCGGUGUUUGGCACCUCGAUGUCGGCUCAUCACAUCCUGGGGCUGAAGUAGGUCCCAAGGGUAUGGCUGUUCGCCAUUUAAAGUGGUACGCGAGCUGGGUUUAGAACGUCGUGAGACAGUUCGGUCCCUAUCUGCCGUGGGCGCUGGAGAACUGAGGGGGGCUGCUCCUAGUACGAGAGGACCGGAGUGGACGCAUCACUGGUGUUCGGGUUGUCAUGCCAAUGGCACUGCCCGGUAGCUAAAUGCGGAAGAGAUAAGUGCUGAAAGCAUCUAAGCACGAAACUUGCCCCGAGAUGAGUUCUCCCUGAGACUUAGAGUCUCCUGAAGGAACGUUGAAGACGACGACGUUGAUAGGCCGGGUGUGUAAGCGCAGCGAUGCGUUGAGCUAACCGGUACUAAUGAACCGUGAGGCUUAACCUU
rnacentral:rRNA from 1 species